GCAUCGCUGAGCAGUCCAACAAUAGGACGAAACGGCCGUCCAGUGC
rnacentral:hammerhead_ribozyme from 1 species